ACCUCCACCGCCAUCCUCUCCCUCAAGUCUGCCCCUCCCCCCACCGCCCGCUCCGUCGUCCACCGCAGCCUCAUCGCCGACCGCCAUAACAGACGCCGCGGCACCGCCUCCACCCUAGACCAAGUCGAUCGCCACUUCCAGUCAACGCCUUGCCUCCGACUCCGGCCCCUCUUCUCCGGCGACCUAUCCUCCCCCCUUUCCUUUGUCUUCUGCCAUUUGCCGCCCUGAACCAUCGCAUCUAUUGAUCUCAAAUGGAUAAAAAAUAGAGAUGCAGGCUAGCAAUCAUUAAAGUGCUUGCCUUGUAUCUUCUCUGAGUUAAUCAGUUAACCUCAUUAGGAUACUGUUAAUCAAACUUUGGCAGGAAUUAGGAAGUCAGCAUAGGGGAGGAUCAGGGCAAAGGCUCCUCCUACUGACGAUUUAUUGUUGUAUGCUAUUGCUGCUUGUGUGCUGCAGAAGAGGGAGUUGAUAAUUGCGAGAAGCAGCAGCAUGGAUGAGAUCAUGAGAGAAUGCAAUAGCUUGUCCGGGCAACUAGAUUUCGGCAUUUCGCUCCCUUCUCCUGUUGGGCAACAACAUCACUGCCAAUUUGGAGUCAGUUCGGAGAAAAAAAUGUUUUUGUAAUCCUGCUGGGUAAGAUUAUAUUGAGUUAAUACAGGCCCGGCCAAUGUAAUCAGAUUAUUCUCUUGAUUUUUUAUAAUUUACGGAGGUAAUAUGAGUUGGGGCUUAUAACUUGAA